AGCGAACGCUGGCGGCAGGCCUAAUACAUGCAAGUCGAACGGCUCUUCGGAGCAGUGGCGGACGGGUGAGUAACGCGUGGGAACGUGCCCUUUGGUACGGAACAACUGAGGGAAACUUCAGCUAAUACCGUAUGUGCCCUUCGGGGGAAAGAUUUAUCGCCAUUGGAGCGGCCCGCGUUGGAUUAGCUAGUUGGUGGGGUAAUGGCCCACCAAGGCGACGAUCCAUAGCUGGUCUGAGAGGAUGAUCAGCCACACUGGGACUGAGACACGGCCCAGACUCCUACGGGAGGCAGCAGUAGGGAAUCUUGCGCAAUGGGCGAAAGCCUGACGCAGCCAUGCCGCGUGAAUGAUGAAGGUCUUAGGAUUGUAAAAUUCUUUCACCGGGGAAGAUAAUGACGGUACCCGGAGAAGAAGCCCCGGCUAACUUUGUGCCAGCAGCCGCAGUAACAC
rnacentral:rRNA from 1 species